ACCAAAAUGGUUUGUGCUGGAUGCCUGGUUUCUGGACAAAUUUUCCAUCUUCCUAGAAAAAAAAUACUUAAGGAAGAUUUGUUGUUUUCUAAGAGACUUCCUAAUUCUUUCUUGGAACAGCAGAUUGAGCUCUGGUGUUUGGAGACCUGCCCUAGCAGCCUGUAGAAAUACUUUUCUUAGUCACGGGAGCAGCUAACAACGAUGCAGCCCUCUCUGCCAGACAGGAAGUGCCAGGCCAUUUGUCACCCACCAUCUCUCGGAGCACACAGACAAAUGGACAGUGGUGACACAGCCAGAUGGGUCCUUUGACAAGAGGGAAGCACAGAGGUCCUGAGAACACAGGCAAGGGCCCCAACCUGAACCCACCCUGUGCCACUUCCUACCCUAUAGUGUCUGGAGAC